rnacentral:rRNA from 1 species
UAAGGAAUAUUGGAUAAUGGUCGCAAGACUGAUCCAGCCAUGCCGCGUGCAGGAAGACGGCCCUAUGGGUUGUAAACUGCUUUUGUACCAGAGAAAACCUAUCUACGUGUAGAUAGCUGAUAGUAUGGUAAGAAUAAGCAUCGGCUAACUUCGUGCCAGCAGCCGCGGUAAGACGAAGGAUGCAAGCGUUAUCCGGAUUCAUUGGGUUUAAAGGGUGCGUAGGCGGGCUUGUAAGUCAGUGGUGAAAUCUCUCAGCUUAACUUAGAAACUGCCAUUGAUACUGCAGGCCUAGAGUAUAGAUGACGUUGGCGGAAUAUGACAUGUAGUGGUGAAAUACUUAGAUAUGUCAUAGAACACCGAUUGCGAAGGCAGCUAACGAAACUAUAACUGACGCUGAGGCACGAAAGUGCGGGGAUCAAACA